rnacentral:piRNA from 1 species
UUGCAAGAUGGAAUGCAGAGUGUGAC